AGACCCUGGCAAUGGGCAAAGAGAUACCUGCGGUUGGUGUUAUUCUUCUAUCAAUCUGGGGCAGAGCAGACGGCGGUCCUUUGUUCAUCCUAGCUUGACACCCGGCUUGGUGGCCAAAGCUGUUUUAUGCCUAGGACACAUGA